rnacentral:rRNA from 1 species
GUGAGGAAUAUUGCGCAAUGGAGGCAACUCUGACGCAGCCAUGCCGCGUGCAGGAAGAAGGCGCUACGCGUUGUAAACUGCUUUUAACCAGGAAGAAACCCCAGGACGUGUCCUGGGUUGACGGUACCGGAGGAAUAAGCACCGGCUAACUUCGUGCCAGCAGCCGCGGUAAUACGAAGGGUGCAAGCGUUAUCCGGAUUCAUUGGGUUUAAAGGGUGCGUAGGCGGAGCGUUAAGUCAGUGGUGAAAUCCUGCAGCUUAACUGUAGACUUGCCAUUGAUACUGGCGCUCUUGAGUGCGCUUGAAGUGGGCGGAAUGUGCCGUGUAGCGGUGAAAUGCUUAGAUAUGGCACAGAACACCAAUUGCGAAGGCAGCUCACUAAGGCGAUACUGACGCUGAGGCACGAAAGCGUGGGGAUCGAACAGGAUUAGAAACCCUGGUAGUCC